GAUGACGUAAUUUAUGGACAGACCCAAAGGGAUUAUACUUGGUCAAGCAGAUCUUGUCAGUAGAAAAAGGCGGCAAAUUUGAAAAAUGUAGGCGCGAAGGGAUAUCGUCCCAUAGAAAAUUUCGCGCCUUUUUUACUGACAAGAUUUGCUUUACCAGCUAUAAAUAGAAGAUGAGCUUGCACGUAAUUUUUUUUUAGAGAUUGGUUUUUAAUAUUUUUUUAAGCGCUGGUGGCCUAGCGGUAAGAGCGUGCGACUUUCAAUACAGAGGUCGCGGGUUCAAGCCCCGGCUCGUACCAAUGAGUUUUUCGGAACUUAUGUACGAAAUAUCAUUUGACAAUUUACCAGUUGCUUUUCGGUGAAGGAAAACAUCGUGAGGAAACCGGACUAAUCCGAAUAAGACCUAGUUUCCCCUCUGGGUUGAAAGGUCAGAUGGCAGUCGCGUUCAUAAAAACUAGUACCUACGCCAAUUCUUGGGAUAAGUUGACAACGGACCCUAUGCUCCCAUGAGCCGUGGCAAAAUGACGGGAUAACGCCCGGAAGAAGAAGGAUUCUUGAAAUUUUAGGAGUUUAAUAAGACGCGCAAAAGUUUGUAACGUUAGUAUGGUUCCUGAUAAAUACUUUGUCAAUGGAAAAUCUUAUCACACAGUGUGUAUAUAUACACUCUAGUACAUAGUGCUGGGUCAGUUCUAGAUUAUUAGAGCUAUAAAGUAACGAUAACAAAGCUCGCCGCUAUUAAGACUUGGUCAGUGCUUGCCGCUAUAAUAAAUAACUACUUAUUAAUAAUUAUUUUACUGUGAUUUUAUAAUUGACUUUUUAUUCUGCUAGAUUUCGGGUUAAGCAAUUUUUGUUACUUACCAUCUACGAUGUCCUGUUAAAAAUAAUAUAUAAUUUUAAUAAGCAA